UCCUUGUCUUGUAGUCCAGCUGGCAUUUUUCUUGUACUCUCUCCUUGCCACCGGAUGUUCUUCAGGCUGGCCAGGGGCUGUCGGGGGUCACAAAACUCUCACACUACCUGGUCAAGGCACUCUGGUCCAAUGGUGCAGUGGGUUUGAAGUCCUGCUAUAGGACCAGCUGGAGUUUGAUGGCCUCUAGAUGAGAAAAGAUAAACUUUAUUAGUACAUUUAUUAGGCAGGGUCCUAAUCACAAAGACAGAAGGAGCAUCAGAAGGGAUCCCACCGAGCAUAGUAACCAAGGCAUCCAGUUCCAAAUUUUGACCAUUAUCCCAUAUGACUCUGAGAGCUGCUGCUGCUGAAUCCUCAAGAAUGGUCUGCUAAUUUCUUUGUUGCAUCUUUAACCAUCUCAGAUUGGUUUACGUGAAGAUAGCUUUUUUCCUCCAGGAAGAGACAUAGUCCUCUCUUUUCAGUGGUUAAUCUUAUCUUCUCCAAUUUUGGGGAGUGACUGCUGCUAAUGAGUCUACCUGAUUCUGGAAGAUAAUCUCCUACGUUGGUGGCCUCCUGGCUUCAGGAAUUGUGGUUCAGGCAUGGAGCCCAAAGGGCAAUGGGUUCCAGAGCUCAAAUGCAUGGCAGCAGGAAGCUAUGACCUGAGCCUAGCCCCAGAUGAUGCUGUCAAGCUCUUACAAAGACAGAUCUAUACCUGCCAGUCCCGCAGGUGUGAGCUGUAAGUCUGUUUCGUGGAGAUCGUUUUCACCAUCAUUUUCCCCUUCCAGUUUGAAGAGGUGUUUCUGGAAUGGAGCUGGGAUCAAUACUAUGUUUUGUUCAAUUCUAGAGACUAUAUUGCUGGGAGUUCUCUUCAGAAUCAAUAACUGAUGCAUGAUGUUACAGAAUCUUGCAUGAAACCACCAUUCAAAGUACAAGAAAGACAAAUGGAUUUUAAUGUAAAAGCACCAGAAGUUCAGUAAUAUGGUCUCAGAUUCCACCUUGCAAUUAAUCUAAAGAAGCUACUACUUAUUUUGAGGAGGUAUCAGAGAAGAAUAUAUACUAUUUGCUGAAAAGGAUACUAAAGUACUCCUCCCCUUUUCAACUAUACAUCUGUGUGAGCAAAGGUUUUGUCUAUAUACUCAACCAAAGCAACAUAUGGAAACAAAUUACAUGCAGAAGAUUUGAGAUGCUAUUUUUCUUCUAUUAAUUGAGACAUUGAAGAAAUUUGCAGAAAAUUAAAAAAGGGGGGAAG